rnacentral:lncRNA from 1 species
AUGUACAUUAUUGCAAAUACAUUUUCAUCAGAGAAUACAUUAAUCACAAAAGCUGAAGACAAAAGAAAUAGUAACAAUGAGGAUGCUGUAUAUGACAAGGAAUAUGAAAAAGACGGCUCGCCCACAGAGAACAUCAAUGUAUAUGACAAAAUACGAGCGUGCACGCAUCCUUGGUACACUGCCUUGCAGAUAAGCAUGAAUGCUCUUGUUAUGGUCGAGCUUGAUGGGGAGACUGAUCCACUUGAGGUAAAGUUCCGAUUUCAGAUUUCACAAAUCUUCAUAAUGUGGGCACGACCGCGAUGUCCUGAUUAUGAUAUUGGUGGUGUUUGAAUCUUCUGAA